rnacentral:rRNA from 1 species
AAAUUGAAGAGUUUGAUCAUGGCUCAGAUUGAACGCUGGCGGCAGGCCUAACACAUGCAAGUCGAGCGGAAACGAGUUAUCUGAACCUUCGGGGAACGAUAACGGCGUCGAGCGGCGGACGGGUGAGUAAUGCCUAGGAAAUUGCCCUGAUGUGGGGGAUAACCAUUGGAAACGAUGGCUAAUACCGCAUGAUGCCUACGGGCCAAAGAGGGGGACCUUCGGGCCUCUCGCGUCAGGAUAUGCCUAGGUGGGAUUAGCUAGUUGGUGAGGUAAGGGCUCACCAAGGCGACGAUCCCUAGCUGGUCUGAGAGGAUGAUCAGCCACACUGGAACUGAGACACGGUCCAGACUCCUACGGGAGGCAGCAGUGGGGAAUAUUGCACAAUGGGCGCAAGCCUGAUGCAGCCAUGCCGCGUGUGUGAAGAAGGCCUUCGGGUUGUAAAGCACUUUCAGUCGUGAGGAAGGUAGUGUAGUUAAUAGCUGCAUUAUUUGACGUUAGCGACAGAAGAAGCACCGGCUAACUCCGUGCCAGCAGCCGCGGUAAUACGGAGGGUGCGAGCGUUAAUCGGAAUUACUGGGCGUAAAGCGCAUGCAGGUGGUUUGUUAAGUCAGAUGUGAAAGCCCGGGGCUCAACCUCGGAAUAGCAUUUGAAACUGGCAGACUAGAGUACUGUAGAGGGGGGUAGAAUUUCAGGUGUAGCGGUGAAAUGCGUAGAGAUCUGAAGGAAUACCGGUGGCGAAGGCGGCCCCCUGGACAGAUACUGACACUCAGAUGCGAAAGCGUGGGGAGCAAACAGGAUUAGAUACCCUGGUAGUCCACGCCGUAAACGAUGUCUACUUGGAGGUUGUGGCCUUGAGCCGUGGCUUUCGGAGCUAACGCGUUAAGUAGACCGCCUGGGGAGUACGGUCGCAAGAUUAAAACUCAAAUGAAUUGACGGGGGCCCGCACAAGCGGUGGAGCAUGUGGUUUAAUUCGAUGCAACGCGAAGAACCUUACCUACUCUUGACAUCCAGAGAACUUUCCAGAGAUGGAUUGGUGCCUUCGGGAACUCUGAGACAGGUGCUGCAUGGCUGUCGUCAGCUCGUGUUGUGAAAUGUUGGGUUAAGUCCCGCAACGAGCGCAACCCUUAUCCUUGUUUGCCAGCGAGUAAUGUCGGGAACUCCAGGGAGACUGCCGGUGAUAAACCGGAGGAAGGUGGGGACGACGUCAAGUCAUCAUGGCCCUUACGAGUAGGGCUACACACGUGCUACAAUGGCGCAUACAGAGGGCAGCCAACUUGCGAAAGUGAGCGAAUCCCAAAAAGUGCGUCGUAGUCCGGAUUGGAGUCUGCAACUCGACUCCAUGAAGUCGGAAUCGCUAGUAAUCGUGGAUCAGAAUGCCACGGUGAAUACGUUCCCGGGCCUUGUACACACCGCCCGUCACACCAUGGGAGUGGGCUGCAAAAGAAGUAGGUAGUUUAACCUUCGGGGGGACGCUUACCACUUUGUGGUUCAUGACUGGGGUGAAGUCGUAACAAGGUAGCGCUAGGGGAACCUGGCGCUGGAUCACCUCCUUA